AUUGAACGCUGGCGGCAGGCCUAACACAUGCAAGUCGAGCGGGGUUUUCGGACCUAGCGGCGGACGGGUGAGUAAUGCGUAGGAAGCUACCCGAUAGAGGGGGAUACCAGUUGGAAACGACUGUUAAUACCGCAUAAUGUCUACGGACCAAAGUGUGGGACCUUCGGGCCACAUGCUAUCGGAUGCGCCUACGUGGGAUUAGCUAGUUGGUGAGGUAAUGGCUCACCAAGGCGACGAUCCCUAUCUGGUUUGCGAGGAUGAUCAGCCACACUGGAACUGAGACACGGUCCAGACUCCUACGGGAGGCAGCAGUGGGGAAUAUUGGACAAUGGGCGCAAGCCUGAUCCAGCCAUGCCGCGUGUGUGAAGAAGGCCUUCGGGUUGUAAAGCACUUUCAGUAGGGAGGAAGCGUUGUGUGUUAAUAGUACACAGCGUUGACGUUACCUACAGAAGAAGCACCGGCUAACUCUGUGCCAGCCGCCGCGGUAAAAC
rnacentral:rRNA from 1 species